ensembl:lncRNA
AUGUGGCAGGGGAAGAGUGUGACCCCAGGUCACCUUCCCUUUCAGGAAGCUGAGCCCCUCCGGAUGCCUCAGAAAGAGAAACCAGCACUUCCCCACAUGGCUCUUCAGUGGCCGCCACCCUGGACAUCGGAGCUGUGGCUUCUCCUGCUGGAUGGAUGCCCACAGCCCUGGAGAGAGCACGGAUGUGAGGACUUGAAAGGCUCCCACUUAUCACCGAGGAAGCAGGAGGAGGACAAGAGCCCCUCUGCCUCUGGAGAGAGAGACCCGGAACCUGGUGCUCCAACCAAAUGCUGUAGCUGGGACCAUCCAUCUUGGAGAAGCGGUCCAGGCCAACUGGAAAGUGUCCAGAGGUGCCACAGCCACGCUGAGUCCAAGGAAACAGUGCCGAGCAUCCAGAGUCACAGGGGCAGCAGCCAAGAAGAUGGUUCCCGAGGUUCACCUUUGCCUGGCCUCGUUUCCCACUGCGCCCUGGUUUGUGCCUUCUGCUCACACUGGAUGCUGCCUUGCCUUUCACACCGUUUCUCCAGAGCUUCUCAUGUACCCACAUGA